CCUACGGGAGGCAGCAGUAGGGAAUCUUCCACAAUGGGCGAAAGCCUGAUGGAGCAACGCCGCGUGGGUGAAGAAGGUCUUCGGAGCGUAAAACCCUGUUGGUAGAGAAGAAAGUGCGGGAGAGUAACUGUUCACGUGUCGACGGUAUCUAACCAGAAAGCCACGGCUAACUACGUGCCAGCAGCCGCGGUAAUACGUAGGUGGCAAGCGUUAUCCGGAUUUAUUGGGCGUAAAGGGAACGCAGGCGGUCUGUUAAGUCUGAUGUGAAAGCCUGCGGCUUAACCGGAGUAGUGCAUGGGAAACUGGGAGACUUGAGUGCAGGAGAGGAGAGUGGAACUCCAUGUGUAGCGGUGAAAUGCGUAGAUAUCUGGAAGAACACCAGUGGCGAAGGCGGCUCUCUGGUCUGUAACUGACGCUGAGGUUCGAAAGCGUGGGUAGCAAACAGGAUUAGAUACCCCAGUAGUC
rnacentral:rRNA from 1 species